rnacentral:rRNA from 1 species
UACGUAGGGGGGCUAGCGUUGUCCGGAAUUAUUGGGCGUAAAGCGCGUGUAGGCGGUUUGGUAAGUCCGCUGUAAAAGUCCAGGGCUCAACCCUGGAAGGCCGGUGGAUACUGUCAGACUAGAGUACGGAAGAGGCGAGUGGAAUUCCUGGUGUAGCGGUGAAAUGCGCAGAUAUCAGGAGGAACACCAAUUGCGAAGGCAGCUCGCUGGGGACGUAAACUGACGCUGAGACGCGAAAAGCGUGGGGGAGCAAAACAGG